rnacentral:rRNA from 1 species
GACGUAGGGGGCCAGCGUUGUUCGGAAUUACUGGGUGUAAAGGGUUCGUAGGCGGUGUGGCAAGUUGGGAGUGAAAUCUCUGGGCUCAACCCAGAGGCUGCUUCCAAAACUGCUGUGCUUGAGUGUGGGAGAGGCGCGUGGAAUUGCAGGUGUAGCGGUGAAAUGCGUAGAUAUCAGGAGGAACACCUGCGGUGUAGACAGCUUUCUGGACCACUUCUGACGCUGAGACACGAAAGCGUGGGUAGCAAACAGG